CCGGCACCCUACUCACUGAGCCACAGGUGCUGCCCAGAUCACUCCUAUAUUCACCUGAGAGUCCACUUCCAGAGAGCCUCUGAGGGAAGGCCAAAGAGACCAGGACCUCAGGUUGCUGGGCUAUUAGCCUGUCAAAUGUUUUUAGAAGCAUGAGAAGCCUCAACCCUACUGGCCAGUUGGAGGCUCCCAGAAAUGUAUGUUUGCACCUGUCACCAAAAACACCAUUAAAAUGAAAGCAGGCAUCCAAUCAACCCCUGCAGUGUUAAGUCACCCAUAGACCUGUUAAAAACUAUAUGAGAAAGUGUUCUGG